GGGCCCGCACAAGCGGCGGAGCAUGCGGAUUAAUUCGAUGCAACGCGAAGAACCUUACCAAGGCUUGACAUGGACCGGACCGGGCUGGAAACAGUCCUUCCCCUUUGGGGCCGGUUCACAGGUGGUGCAUGGUUGUCGUCAGCUCGUGUCGUGAGAUGUUGGGUUAAGUCCCGCAACGAGCGCAACCCUCGUUCCAUGUUGCCAGCGCGUAAUGGCGGGGACUCAUGGGAGACUGCCGGGGUCAACUCGGAGGAAGGUGGGGACGACGUCAAAUCAUCAUGCCCCUUAUGUCUUGGGCUUCACGCAUGCUACAAUGGCCGGUACAAAGGGUUGCGAUACUGUGAGGUGGAGCUAAUCCCAAAAAGCCGGUCUCAGUUCGGAUUGGGGUCUGCAACUCGACCCCAUGAAGUCGGAGUCGCUACUAAUCGCAGAUCAGCAACGCUGCGGUGAAUACGUUCCCGGGCCUUGUACACACCGCCCGUCAAGUCACGAAAGUUGGUAACACCCGAAGCCGGUGGCCUAACCCCUUGUGGGAGGGAGCUGUCGAAGGUGGGACUGGCGAUUGGGACU
rnacentral:rRNA from 1 species